rnacentral:rRNA from 1 species
CAGCAGGGAAGAAAAUGACGGUACCUGACUAAGAAGCCCCGGCUAACUACGUGCCAGCAGCCGCGGUAAUACGUAGGGGGCAAGCGUUAUCCGGAUUUAUUGGGUUUAAAGGGUGCGUAGGUGGUUAAUUAAGUCAGCGGUGAAAGUUUGUGGCUCAACCAUAAAAUUGCCGUUGAAACUGGUUGACUUGAGUAUAUUUGAGGUAGGCGGAAUGCGUGGUGUAGCGGUGAAAUGCAUAGAUAUCACGCAGAACUCCGAUUGCGAAGGCAGCUUACUAAACUAUAACUGACACUGAAGCACGAAAGCGUGGGGAUCAAACAGGAUUAGAUACCCUGGUAGUCC